rnacentral:misc_RNA from 1 species
GAUGAAGAACGCAGUGAAAUGCGAUAAGUAAUGCGAAUUGCAGAAUCCGUGAGUCAUCGAAUCUUUGAACGCACAUUGCGCCCCUUGGUUAUUCCGAAGGGCAUGCCUGUUCGAGCGUCAUUUAAACCUUCAAGCUCAGCUUGGUGUUGGGUGACUGUCCGCUUCACCGCGGACUCGCCUCAAAAUUAUUGGCGGCCGGUACAUUGGCUUCGAGCGCAGCAGAAACGCGAACUCGGGCCCGUCGUAUUGGCUCCCAGAAGCUAUCUUCACAAUUUUGACCUCGGAUCAGGUAGGGAUACCCGCUGAACUUAAGCAUAUCAAUAAGCGGAGGA